ACAGGGAUUGCCCUAGUAACGGCGAGUGAAGCGGCAACAGCUCAAAUUUGAAAUCUGGCGUCUUUGGCGUCCGAGUUGUAAUUUGCAGAGGGCGCUUUGGCAUUGGCAGCGGUCCAAGUUCCUUGGAACAGGACGUCACAGAGGGUGAGAAUCCCGUACGUGGUCGCUAGCCUUUACCGUGUAAAGCCCCUUCGACGAGUCGAGUUGUUUGGGAAUGCAGCUCUAAAUGGGAGGUAAAUUUCUUUUAAAGCUAAAUACUGGCCAGAGACCGAUAGCGCACAAGUAGAGUGAUCGAAAGAUGAAAAGCACUUUGGAAAGAGAGUUAAAAAGCACGUGAAAUUGUUGAAAGGGAAGCGCUUGCAGCCAGACUUGCCUGUAGUUGCUCAUCUGGGUUUUUACCCAGUGCACUCUUCUAUAGGCAGGCCAGCAUCAGUUUGGGCGGUUGGAUAAAGGUCUCUGUCAUGUCCCUUUCUUCGGGGAGAACUUAUAGGGGAGACGACAUGCAACCAGCCUGGACUGAGGUCCGCGCAUCUGCUAGGAUGCUGGCGUAAUGGCUGUAAGCGGCCCGUCUUGAAACACGGACCAAGGAGUCUAACAUCUAUGCGAGUGUUUGGGUGUCAAGCCCGAGCGCGUAAUGAAAGUGAACGGAGGUGGGAACCUUUCGGGGUGCACCAUCGACCGAUCCUGAUGUCUUCGGAUGGAUUUGAGUAAGAGCAUAGCUGUUGGGACCCGAAAGAUGGUGAACUAUGCUUGAAUAGGGUGAAGCCAGAGGAAACUCUGGUGGAGGCUCGCAGCGGUUCUGACGUGCAAAUCGAUCGUCAAAUUUGGGCAUAGGGGCGAAAGACUAAUCGAACA
rnacentral:rRNA from 1 species